UGCGCCUUGCCAGCCCGCUCAGUCAGAGUUUGAGUCCUGGCGUCAGAUUGAACGCUGCGGCAAGCCUAACACAUGCAAGUCGAGCGGCAGCGAAAGAAAGCUUGCUUUCUUGUCGGCGAGCGGCAAACGGGGUGAGUAAUAUCUGGGGAUCUGCCCAAAAGAGGGGGAUAACUACUAGAAAUGGUAGCUAAAUAACCGCGAUAAAGUUGAAAAAACCAAAAGUGGGGGACCUUUUAUAGGCCUCAUGCUUUUGGAUGAACCCAGACGAGAUUAGCUUGUUGGUAAGGUAAAAGCUUACCAAGGCAACGAUCUCUAGCUGGUCUGAGAGGAUAACCAGCCACACUGGAACUGAGACACGGUCCAG
rnacentral:rRNA from 1 species